UGCUGAUCAGGGAGAUGGGGAGAAACCAAACAGUGAACAUUCUGCAAAGAGGAGGGUCAUUGGAGAUGGAAAUAUCCCUGAUGCUUCCAAGAGAAGCCACAUAUGGACAGCCAGACCCUGACUGACCCAUCCUGGCAAGUGGCACCAGUGGUAGAGGAAAGCUAAAGGAGCCAGGAGGCUUCACACAUGCUCCAAAGAGUGAUCUCUGAAUAAUCUCAGCUGACUCUUAGAAGUAGAUAAGAACAAGGUCAGUUUUGACCAACUUGGUCGUAAACACCUGGCAGGAGAGUAUAGCCUAAAAGCACAGUCCUUCAUGGAUGUUUAAAAGGAAAACAAUUUUUUUUUAAAUUUUACUUAAGUUAUAUACUUCCAUCAGCCCUACCAAAAGUCAGUAAAGCUGGAGGUUAUAAGGAAGGGUUUUUAUGUGAGAGUUAAUAAUAGUAAUGAUCACAAGAGUUCCAAAUUUGUCCUGAUUUAUUUUGAAUCUGAUUUCAUAGACCUACAAAUCUUCCAAACCUCUUACAUUGAUGAACUUGAUCUGUUUUUCACUAAUAAGAUUAAGUUACUGUCCUCAUGGUUUUCAGAGACUGGCUGAAAUGUUUUUAUGCUAAUUGUUUACAAAAAGUAAUGCUUUUCUGUCUUUAUUGUUGUCUUAGCAUGAUCUCUGCCCUACAUUUACCUUGUCCAGUCACCUGCCAUCUAUCACUGUGGAUCUCUGGACUGCUCUGAUGCUGAAUGCCCUUAACUGUCCACACCCCACCUGAUAGAGAACAAGGACUUUGGGUUACUUCCCCCAACUUUGCCCCCUUUCAGCAGGAAGUAGCUUGGAUAUGUCAUUGCCUACUUCCCAUACAAAUGGAAGUUAGAAAUUGACAGUGGGGAAUUGUAACAAGGAUUCAUUUGAUGCUUUGACUAUAUCCCAUUGUGGGGUGACCAGCUCCCUGCCAGGGUAGGUUCCUGCUCAGGAGGUGUAAGCUGCCUGGGAAGUAAAAUGUCUGAAAUAAUUAGUAAGAAAUAGAGACAGAGCCAGAAAAGAAGUAAUCCAGAUUUGGGGGAUGGCACCAGAAGAUCUCAGAAAUGACUAUCUCCUAAAUUAACAAGUGAAUUACAACUCCAACAGAGAACAUGUGGAAUGUAGCCUUUGAAUCACCUCUUUAAAAGUCCCCUAUUCCUGCUGAUGGGCAGAUCAUAGCCUUUGGGACAAGAGUCCUUUUAUCAAAACUGUGUCUUUGUUAUUGGAUUGGCAUCAGAGACAAGGACCAAGCUUUCAGCAACAUGCAGAAUGUCUAAUUUAUGCUCUGAGAACUAGCCAACCUGGAUGUCAUGUACAUAUAUUACGUCAUUGGUGUUUUGAUAGGAAUUGCAUUGAAUAUAUAAAUUGUUUUGGGAAGAAUGGAUAUUUUGACAAUAUUUUUU
rnacentral:lncRNA from 1 species